rnacentral:rRNA from 1 species
UACGUAGGGUGCAAGCGUUGUCCGGAAUUAUUGGACGUAAAGAGCUCGUAGGCGGUCUGUCGCGUCGGAUGUGAAAAUCCAGGGCUUAACCCUGGGCCUGCAUUCGAUACGGGCAGACUAGAGUUCGGUAGGGGAGACUGGAAUUCCUGGUGUAGCGGUGAAAUGCGCAGAUAUCAGGAGGAACACCGGUGGCGAAGGCGGGUCUCUAGGCCGACACUGACGCUGAGGAGCGAAAGCGUGGGGAGCGAACAGG